rnacentral:snoRNA from 1 species
UCAUAGUGUACCCAUGCCAGAAUAAAUUGCUGCCUCAAACCAUUGCCCACCCUCCUUACCUGUGGGCUGUUAGCACUGAAGAGGGUUGUACAGUA